rnacentral:rRNA from 1 species
CCGACGGUGAGGGAUGAAGGCUGGGGGCGCAAACCGGAUUAGAUACCCGGGUAGUCCCAGCAGUAAACGAUGCCAGCUAUGUGUUGCUGGAACCAUGGGUUCCAGCAGUGCCGAAGGGAAGCCGUGAAGCUGGCCACCUGGGAAGUACGGUCGCAAGGCUGAAACUUAAAGGAAUUGGCGGGGGAGUACCACAACCGGUGGAGCCUGCGGUUUAAUUGGAUACAACGCCGGGAAUCUUACCGGAGGGGACAGCAGUAUGAAGGCCAGGCUAAAGACCUUGCCAGAUCAGCUGAGAGGAGGUGCAUGGCCGUCGCCAGUUCGUACCGUGAGGCAUCCUGUUUAGUCAGGCAACGAUCGAGACCCGCAGUCUUAUUUGCCAGCAUGCCCUUUGGGGUGUAUGGGUACAAUAAGACGACCGCCAGCGCUAAGCUGGAGGAAGGAGCGGGCUACGGUAGGUCAGCAUGCCCCGAAUCCUCCGGGAUACACGCGGGCUACAAUGGUCAGGACAAAAGGUACCGACCUCGAAAGAGUGAGGUAAUCCACAAACCUGAUCUCAGUCCGGAUCGAAGGCUGCAACUCGCCUUCGUGAAGAUGGAAUCGGUAGUAAUCGUGACUCACAAUGUCACGGUGAAUAUGUCCCUGCUCCUUGCACACACCCGCCG